UACGAGGGGGGCAAGCGUUGUUCGGAAUUACUGGGCGUAAAGGGCUCGUAGGCGGCCAACUAAGUCAGACGUGAAAUCCCUCGGCUUAACCGGGGAACUGCGUCUGAUACUGGAUGGCUAGAGUGUGGGAGAGGGAUGCGGAAUUCCAGGUGUAGCGGUGAAAUGCGUAGAUAUCUGGAGGAACACCGGUGGCGAAGGCGGCAUCCUGGACCACGACUGACGCUGAGUGAGCGAAAGCCAGGGGAGCAAACGGG
rnacentral:rRNA from 1 species